GACGAACGCUGGCGGCGUGCUUAACACAUGCAAGUCGAACGGAAAGGCCCUGCUGCUGUCGGGUGCUCGAGUAGCGAACAGGUGAGUAACACGAGAGUGACCUGCCCUCGACUUUGGGAUAACUUCAGGAAACUGCAGCUACUACUGGAUAGGAGAUCCUGCUGCAUGGUGACGGUUGGAAAGAUUCGGCGGCUGGGGAUGGACUCGCGGCUUAUCCGCUUGUUGGUGGGGUAGUGGCUUACCAAGGCUUUGACGGGUAGCCGGCCUGAGAGGGUGACCGGCGACAUUGGGACUGAGAUACGGUCCAGACUCCUACGGGAGGCAGCAGUGGGGAAUAUUGCAGAGUGGGCGGAAGCCUGAUGCAGCAACGCCGCGUGCGGGAUGACGGCCUGCGUGUUGUAAACCGCUUGCGCCUGUGACGAAGCGUGAGUGACGGUAAUGGGUAAAGAAGCACCGGCUAACUACGUG
rnacentral:rRNA from 1 species